CGUGUAGGCGGGCAAUCGAGUCAGAUGUAAAAGGCGACGGCUUAACCGUAGUAUGUCAUCUGAUACUGGUUGUCUUGAGUUCGAGAGAGGGUGGUGGAAUUCCCGGUGUAGCGGUGAAAUGCGCAGAUAUCGGGAGGAGCACCUAUGGCGAAGGCAGCUCGCUGGGACGUUACUGACGCUGAGACGCGAAAGCGUGGGGAGCAAACA
rnacentral:rRNA from 1 species